ACGAAAGAGAGGACAUCAGGAUCGGGUCAAUUUGAGCAUGCCGAUGCAGGAACUUUGUUUGUCAACGCAGCCAGCUCCUUGUCUUGUUGUUUCUUCAAGUACCUUUGGGCAGUUGAAGUCAUAAUCUUGAUAGAGAAGUUCAUGAUCAUGAGCCAUACUAUAGUGUUCCAGAUGGAAGAAACUGAGAAAUCCCACUUCUUG
rnacentral:misc_RNA from 1 species